ACAGGCAGCGCAAUGGCAGUAGAGUCACGCUCUCCUUCGGCUGUUCUUUGAGGUGGAGUAGAACGAGGUCUCUUGCUGUCGGCUGAGCGGCUGGUGGCCUGUGAGGAGGUGGCUGUGCGUUUCCCCGAAGGGGAGUGGGACUUCCGCAUGCUGGACCAAGGGCUUGACAUCACGCUGGAGAACUAUGGGAAUGUGGACUCUCUGGUAGUUGAUGGGCGAGACUAAGAGAAACAGCGGGAGGCACCUCUGGUGUCAUCAGGAACGACCCAGCACAAAGAGGGGAAAGUAUUA